GGGCAGAGGGAAGGAGGUGCAUGUUGGCCACGUGCCACACGUUGAGCACAGGGCGUUUGGUGAAGCACGCAGGCUGUGCAGUGUGAUGCUGUCAGCAGGACCUGGGGACAACACUGGGCUGCCCUACCAGGCUGUUCUGGGUCUCAGUGCAGAGAUCCACCACAUGCUCUCAUUUCCCCAUGCCAAACCCCUUCUGACAUACUUUUCAAAGGAGCUGCAGAGAGCCAGAUGGGAAGCGGCCAGGGCUGCGCCUAGCUGCUCAAGAGAGACAAGCUUCCAACGAGACUGUGGAAAACAAUUUAUUUGACAAAUUUCGGAAGUGGACAACUUUUAGUAAAACACAGGCAUAAAAUAAAGGUAACUUCUGGAUACAAAAUAGUUUGGGGUGAUGGUGAUACCUGGAAAUCACUGUUGCUUUCUCAGAAGCGCAUGAAUUCAUAGCAAGAGCACCAAUGGAAGCACUGAACAAAAUCUCACCCAGCCAAACCACAUCUUCAGUGUGGUCCUGGAAACAAAAGUGUAAACACCAAGGGCCCACAUCACCCACGUAGUGAUAGCACCUUUGAUAUCUGCAGGGUGUGAUUCAAAGCCCCUGGCAGAUAAUGGCAGCCUUUCUAUUGACGUGGCUGUGCUGCGGAAUAGGCCCUAAUUCAAUAUAUAGUAGAGUUAGUAGGCCUAGGUGUCCAACUCCUAGAUAGUCUGGUAGAAACAAUACUCCCAGAGAGCUCACUGGGAAACAGACAGCUUGACACUUAUGAAAAGAAAAAAAAAA